GAUGAACGCUGGCGGCGUGCCUAAUACAUGCAAGUCGAGCGAACAGACGAGGCGCUUGCUCCUCUGACGUUAGCCGCGGACGGGUGAGUAACGCGUGUAUCCCCUCCUUAUAGGUCUGGGAACACUAGGGAAAACCGUACCAAAUCCGGUAUAAGAUUUUGAUCCGCGGGGUUCGUUGGAAAAAUACGGUGUUGCGGUCUGUACUAGCUGCUUCCCGGCCGCAUGGGCUGGUUGUGACGGUAACGGCGUACCAAGGCAACGAUGCGUAGCCGACCUGAGAGGGGGAUCGGCCACACUGGAACUGAGACACGCUCCAGACUCCUACGGGAGGCAGCAGUAGGGAAUCUUCCGCAAUGGGCGAAAGCCUGACGGAGCAACGCCGAGUGAGUGAUGAAGGCCUUCGGAUCGUAAACCUCUGUUAUUAGGGAAGAACAGAUGUGUAAGUAAAUAUGCACGUCGUGACGGUACCGAAUCAGAAAGCCACGGCUAACUACGUG
rnacentral:rRNA from 1 species